rnacentral:rRNA from 1 species
AUACGGAGGAUGCAAGCGUUAUCCGGAUUUAUUGGGUUUAAAGGGUGCGUAGGCGGUUUGCUAAGCGGGAGGUGAAAUGCCGGCGCUCAACGUCGGAAGUGCCUCCCGAACUGGUGGACUUGAAUGACUCUGCCGUGGGAGGAAUGUGUAGUGGAGCGGUGAAAUGCUUAGAGAUUACACAGAACACCGAUUGCGAAGGCAUCUCACAAAGGGUUGAUUGACGCUGAGGCACGAAAGCGUGGGGAUCAAACAGGAUUAGAUACCCUGGUAGUCCACGCAGUAAACGAUGAUGGCUAACCGCUGGGCUUAUCAGUUCAGUGGCCAAGCGAAAGCGAUAAGCCAUCCACCUGGGGAGUACGACCGCAAGGUUGAAACUCAAAGGAAUUGACGGGG